AACGAACGCUGGGGGCAGGCCUAACACAUGCAAGUCGAGCGCCCCGAAAGGGGAGCGGCAGACGGGUGAGUAACGCGUGGGAACGUACCCUUAUCUGCGGGAUAUCUCUGGGAGACUGGAAUUAAUACCGAAUGUGCCCUCUGGGGGCAAGAUUUAUCGGGUAAGGAUCGGCCCGCGUUGGAUUCGCGAGUUGGGAGGGUGAAGGCCUACCAAGGCGACGAGCCAUAGCUGGUGUGAGAGGAUGAGCAGCCACAUUGGGACUGAGACACGGCCCAAACUCCUACGGGAGGCAGCAGUGGGGAAUAUUGGACAAUGGGCGCAAGCCUGAUCCAGCCAUGCCGCGUGAGUGAUGAAGGCCUUAGGGUUGUAAAGCUCUUUCACCGGAGAAGAUAAUGACGGUAUCCGGAGAAGAAGCCCCGGCUAACUUCGUG
rnacentral:rRNA from 1 species